rnacentral:rRNA from 1 species
UACAGGGGGUGCAAACGGUGCUCGGAAUCAUUGGGCGUAAAGCGCGCGUAGGCGGUUACUCAAGUCGGAUGUGAAAGCCCUCGGCUUAACUGAGGAAGUGCACCCGAAACUGAGUAGCUAGAGUACUAAAGAGGGUCGCGGAAUUCCCGGUGUAGAGGUGAAAUUCGUAGAUAUCGGGAGGAACACCGGUGGCGAAGGCGGCGACCUGGGCAGAUACUGACGCUGAGGCGCGAAAGCGUGGGGAGCAAACAGG